GCACGAAACUGGUUCCUACCCUAAGUGUUAUCCUUAUUCCUUUCAUCCUUUGAUCCUUUCCUGUCCUGGACGCUCUUGUUCUGUUGCGGCCCUUAGAAUGAUAACUGGGAUGCUUCUUUGUACCUAAUGGCCAAGAGAUAAACAGAUUUGAUAUGUUGACCUUCUAUGGAGGCAUCAAAAGAACAGGCUUCCAAGGACUAUGCUGAUUUCAAGGAGAAGGUUAGGAGGACCAUAUAUUUGGACCAGCUUUCUCCACAAGUUACCACCCCAGUCAUCAAAGCAGCUCUUGCCCAGUGUGCAAAUGUUGUCAAUGUGGAGUUCAUCGUCAACUACACAAUCCCUUAUGAUGUACCUUCUGCUGCAUUGGUAGAACUGGAUGAUGAUAUGCAGGCCAAGGCUGCUGUCGAGUUGAUGACUGAUUUCCCAUUCAUAAUUGGUGGGAUGCCAAGGCCUGUAAAAGCUACCCAUGCAAAGGCUGAGAUGUUCAGGGAUCGACCUCCCUGCCCUGGCCUCAAGAAAGAGUUCCGCUGGGUAAAACAAGGAGAUGACGAGUGUGAGACAAUGAAGAAACUGAAAAACCUUGCAAAGAAGCAAGAGUCAGAGAACAUGGCUCUCAUAAAGGUAAACUUGUUAGUUGCCUUGUGACUG